CAAUCUGCAGGUGUCCACGGUGAGUCCUCCCCAGUAGGAGGAGACAGGAGUCUCUCUGGAAGGCGAACGCCACAGCUGCCCAGAUGUUCUCCUGCAGGGGAACCAGACACCAUCAUGACCCAAAAGGGCUGCACUUCUCGGGGUUUGCAGAAUGUGGCAGAGGUGGAAAAACUCGAAAGUCCCUAAACACAGAUUUUUUGGAAUUAAUUCGAAGUACAUUGCAAUCACGAUGGCCUUUUACUUCUAAAUUCUACACUCUGCACCUCUAAAAUAUACAAGCAUGUCCCAGGACCACCCUCAACUACUUCAGGUCCCUCGGAAAAGGGUAAGGUCAGCCAGGCUGGACACCACGCUGUGGGUGGCCUUAGGUCCUGCAAGCAACUGUGGCCACCAGCGUCGCAGCAGCAAGGAGGCUUGUGUCACUUUUACAACCAGCGAAGUCACGUGUAGGUUCCGUGUCCAGGAAGAGAACCCCACCGCCUCCUUCUGGAUGGCAGGUGUCCCUCUCGGCUGAGCAGGUGUCUGGGACCAUGACAUCCAACCUGGGCUCUCCUGGCCCCCAGAGAAGAGCUGCCCAGUGCAUGUGCUGGCUGCACCGUGACGUCCCCUAUGAACGAGGCCCACAGGCAGUGGCUGGCUGGGGGGAUGCCCCUGCCCUGAGCUGGAGUCUCCCCAGGUGGCUGCUUCUUCCCCACCCCGAGGGUCACAGCCCAGCCCAAGCUCCAAGGGAAUGGAGCAGCUGCCUGCACCAAGCUUCCCUCCUCUGGAGAAAGCACCUCCUCUUCUCCCUCACGUGCUCCCUGAUGACCGCCAGGCUCCUUGACAUGGUUCCCAGGACCAGCCUCUCCCAGGGUCCCUACUCCCAGUACCCCAGUCCUCACCAUUUGUGACCCUUCAGCCCCUGCUGAACCCUGCCAGCCCCAGGACAGGCCACAGCUGUCAUGCCACCUCCCAGCCAUGAUGAAUGGGGAACGGGGAACUGUCUGACCUUGGGCUGGGUUCAAAAGCAGGGUCAGCCCAGGCACAGAGCCUGUUUGUUUGAGUGAAUUGAGUGGGAGGCUGCUUUCUCAUCGGGCUGAGGAGGGUUCAGAGGAUUGUGGUCUCUUUGUUUUCAUUCAAGGCUCCAUCAGCCGGGGCCCUGGCAGGAACCAGAGUUCACUCAACCGUUCACAGAAGGGUGCCUUGCAGAGGCGCAGGCAGGGUGAGCAAGGAUGGCGUGGAACUCGAGGGGGGGUGCCACAGUGGAUGUUGUCGCCACCUGUGGCCUGAGGAGCAGGGCAGGAGCCAUGCUGCUGGGUCCCAGGGAGGCCAUGCGGGGCACUCCACAGAAGCUGGGUCUGGAGACUGGGGGUCCCCGUGAGGCCAUAUGGGGCACUCUACAGAAGCUGGGCCUGGAGACUGGGGGUCCCCGUGAGGCCAUGCGGGGCACUCUACAGAAGCUGGGUCUGGAGACUGGGGGUCCCCGUGAGGCCAUAUGGGGCACUCUACAGAAGCUGGGUCUGGAGACUGGGGGUCCCCGUGAGGCCAUGCGGGGCACUCUACAGAAGCUGGGCCUGGAGACUGGGGGUCCCCGUGAGGCCAUGCGGGGCACUCCACAGAAGCUGGGCCUGGAGACUGGGGGUCCCCGUGAGGCCAUGCGGGGCACUCCACAGAAGCUGGGCCUGGAGACUGGGGGUCCCCGUGAGGCCAUGCGGGGCACUCCACAGAAGCUGGGUCUGGAGACUGGGGGUCCCCGUGAGGCCAUGCGGGGCACUCCACAGAAGCUGGGCCUGGAGACUGGGGGUCCCCGUGAGGCCAUGCGGGGCACUCUACAGAAGCUGGGUCUGGAGACUGGGGGUCCCCGUGAGGCCAUGCGGGGCACUCCACAGAAGCUGGGUCUGGAGAUGAGGGUCCCCGUGAGGCCAUGCGGGGCACUCCACAGAAGCUGGGCCUGGAGACUGGGGGUCCCAGCUCUUGCCAGCAGCACAGCCCCAUGCAGGGAGGGCACGAGGAAUAAAUGCCGCGACCUC
rnacentral:lncRNA from 1 species